rnacentral:rRNA from 1 species
AGGGUUUGAUCAUGGCUCAGGACGAACGCUGGCGGCGUGCCUAAUACAUGCAAGUCGAACGAACCGCGACCGAGUGCUUGCACUUGGUCAAGGUGAGUGGCGAACGGGUGAGUAACACGUGGGUAACCUACCUCAUAGUGGGGGAUAACAGUCGGAAACGACUGCUAAUACCGCAUAGGACAUGGGAUCACAUGAUUCUGUGAGGAAAGGUGGCGCAAGCUAUCGCUAAGAGAUGGACCCGCGGUGCAUUAGCUAGUUGGUAGGGUAACGGCCUACCAAGGCAAUGAUGCAUAGCCGACCUGAGAGGGUGAUCGGCCACAUUGGGACUGAGACACGGCCCAAACUCCUACGGGAGGCAGCAGUAGGGAAUCUUCCGCAAUGGACGCAAGUCUGACGGAGCAACGCCGCGUGAGUGAAGAAGGUCUUCGGAUCGUAAAGCUCUGUUGUUAGAGAAGAACAGCGCAUAGAGUAACUGUUAUGNGUGUGACGGUUAUCCUAACCAGAAAGCCACGGCUAACUACGUGCCAGC